CAUAUAGCUCAGUCGGUAGAGUACUUCCUUGGUAAGGAAGAGGUCACCGGUUCGAAUCCGGUUAUG
rnacentral:tRNA from 1 species